UGAAAUCAAUUAUUACUUAAUAUACACAUGCAAGUCUCCGCACCCCUGUGAAAACGCCCUUAAAUCCCCCUUAGGGAUAAGGAGCUGAUAUCAGGCACAACAAAAUCGCCCAAGACAUCUAGCUACGCCACACCCACAAGGGAACUCAGCAGUGAUUAACAUUGAACAUAAGCGAAAGCUUGACUCAGUUAAAGUAAAAAGAGCCGGCAAAUCUGGUGCCAGCCGCCGCGGUUACACCACGUGGCCCAAAUUGACUUCUACCGGCGUAAAGCGUGAUUAAAGACACCACUAAUAAUGGAGUUAAACUAAAACUAAGCUGUGACACGCUUGUGCUUAAGAAAACCGUAAACGAAAGUUACUCCAAUUUAACCAACU
rnacentral:rRNA from 1 species